rnacentral:rRNA from 1 species
UACGUAGGGUGCAAGCGUUGUCCGGAAUUAUUGGGCGUAAAGAGCUCGUAGGCGGUUUGUCGCGUCUGCUGUGAAAACCUCAGGCUCAACCUGGGGCUUGCAGUGGGUACGGGCAGACUAGAGUGCGGUAGGGGUGACUGGAAUUCCUGGUGUAGCGGUGGAAUGCGCAGAUAUCAGGAGGAACACCGAUGGCGAAGGCAGGUCACUGGGCCGCAACUGACGCUGGAGGAAGCGAAAGCCGUGGGGAGCGAACAGG